GAGCCAUUAGAUCAGUUGGUAGAGCAUCUGACUUUUAAUCAGAGGGUCGAAGGUUUGAGUCUUUCAUGGCUCACCA
rnacentral:tRNA from 1 species